rfam:Sphingomonas sp. Leaf34 contig_4, whole genome shotgun sequence.
AUCGACUUUGGCAAUGGAUUUCUGCCGGGCAAUUUGGCCGAACCGCUCUGAUAAGAGCUGAUGAUUCCUACUUGGCG